rnacentral:lncRNA from 1 species
UUAUGCCAUCAUUAUCAUAAAUCGUAUUGUAUUCUAUAUAUUAAAAUUUACAAUAUAAGGUCACUUAUACUAGGCACUGCAUCAAGCAUCAAGAGACAGAGAUUGGGCAAUCGGCUUCGAGACUUCGGGUGUGGCAAGAGAUUGAGCCUGCGGGUGCCAAACGUACGAUAGCGGCUGGCAUCACUUCGGGUGUGACAGACUGCUCAUUCAACACCAGUGAGAGACUCAAGCAGUUAAGUUUUGGUGAAUUUAGAUAUUUGAUUAAGUUGGAUACUUCGGGAGUUUUGUUAAUUGUGAUUUGAAGAAAAUAAAGAUUAACUGUAAUUAUUAGAUUUAUUUUUAUUUUUUAUAAGUAUUAAUACAGGUAAAUUUAUAAAUUAAAAUUAACAAUUUUUUUUUUGAAAAAACUUCGCCAACUCUUAGCUUUGCCCCUAACAUAAUGAGAUUAAGAUUAACAUAUUUUCCCCUCAUUUUCUCUCCCCCUCUCUCCUUUCCUCUCUUUCUUCCAACUAGAUAUGUGCUCAAUAUAAUGAACUGAUAUAAGGUAUUAAUGUUGUUGAGGUUUUACUUUAAUGAAAAUGAGCAAAUGAAGCUUUAUGAAACUGAAAUGUUGAUGAACAUAAUUUAUAUACAUAUUUUACCAUUUAUUGUAUAUUUAUUAGUUAAUUUUAUUUGUUAUUUUUAAUUGAUUGAAUUGUUUUAUUGAAUAGAGAAUUAAUUGGAGAUUAAGAAUAAAAAAGUGCAAAAAGAGUAAUAAUUUCGGGGAGUAUCAAUCGAAGCCGUGACAAAGUUAAGAUUUUAUAGCAUGUGAAGCCAAGAGCAAUUUGCAUUUAAAAGGAAUUUCAAUUCUCCAAUUGAGUUGCACGUGCUUGGCAUUGCAAUAUGUGAAAAGCAAUUUAAAGGGACCCGUACUUGGCUUUCAAAAGUGGAAAGUAAUGGCUUAUGGUGGCGUUAAUUUGGAAGAUUUGUUUUAUAAUUGGAAAAGGAUUUUAAUUAGUAUAAAAAGAGGAUUCGGUGGCUAAGCAUUAUAAAAAGAGAGUUUUGGCUUUUGAAUGAGGUAGCCACCAGAGGAGCAGACGCAAGGCUGGGAGAGAAGAAUAAAGCAGCGGCAGCAGCAAUUUAAUUUUCAUGGCUGGUUUUGUUUAUUUUAUUGCUCCUAAUUCAAGUAUGUCUAGCUAAUUUUCUUAUACUGAGGUUAAGGAUGAAAUUCUAUUUAAUGAAAUAAUUAUAUUUUUAUUUAUUUAAUUCUCUAUAUAUGUUCUUUGAUGAUUAUGAUUUUUAUUUCACAUGAUUAAUUAGAUGUUAUUAAAAUCUUUUUAUCAAUUCUGUCGUGC